rnacentral:rRNA from 1 species
UGUUUCGGCUAGGGGGCCAUCCCGGCUUACCAACCCGAUGCAAACUGCGAAUACCGGAGAAUGUUAUCACGGGAGACACACGGCGGGUGCUAACGUCCGUCGUGAAGAGGGAAACAACCCAGACCGCCAGCUAAGGUCCCAAAGUCAUGGUUAAGUGGGAAACGAUGUGGGAAGGCCCAGACAGCCAGGAUGUUGGCUUAGAAGCAGCCAUCAUUUAAAGAAAGCGUAAUAGCUCACUGGUCGAGUCGGCCUGCGCGGAAGAUGUAACGGGGCUAAACUAUGCACCGAAGCUGCGGCAGCGACACUAUGUGUUGUUGGGUAGGGGAGCGUUCUGUAAGCCUGUGAAGGUGUGUCGUGAGGCAUGCUGGAGGUAUCAGAAGUGCGAAUGCUGACAUAAGUAACGAUAAAGCGGGUGAAAAGCCCGCUCGCCGGAAGACCAAGGGUUCCUGUCCAACGUUAAUCGGGGCAGGGUGAGUCGACCCCUAAGGCGAGGCCGAAAGGCGUAGUCGAUGGGAAACGGGUUAAUAUUCCCGUACUUGGUGUUACUGCGAAGGGGGGACGGAGAAGGCUAUGUUGGCCGGGCGACGGUUGUCCCGGUUUAAGCGUGUAGGUGUGUGUUCCAGGUAAAUCCGGUU